ACUGAAGGAAUGAGAACAAAUCAACUACAAACUUCCAUGGAAAAAGCAUGCAAAUUUUAGAUGUCAGUCUCCAAUUAUCAGUGACCAAAAGGGCAAAGGACCCCCCUCCGGUGCCACACUCAAUAUUCCUCACCGGAAAAGAAAGAGAAGUCAGUGCUCUGGGUGGAAUGACACGCUCCUUGGUAGUGCCUCCUCCACCACCAGGGAGGCAAAGAAAAGCCAAAAAAGUCCAAAGCAUUAACAACUUAGAAGCUAUUUUUCAUGUUGCCAACUUAGAUGCUAUUUUUCAUGCUGCUAUCAUUACCUCAAGUUUGAUGCUACAGUGAAAGGCAAAUCUGGUUCUGGUAAUGGAGGCCCUAUGCACAAGGUGGAAUACAAUUACUGCCCUACUAGAAAGCAGGAAGAAUGGAUGUAACGGCCAGGAUGACUCCUAGAAAAAAACCAAACCCAAACCAAACAAUAAAAACCUGUUUUGAUACAUGAUUCAAGAAGUUUGACUGAAAACAAGCCAUUUCUGCAGAUACUAUAUGUUACUGGAAGGUAGAAGUAAAAUCCAUAUAUUUUUCACUGGGAAACUAUUUAAAGAUUAUUCUUGAUGUCCCAUUUUUUAUUACUUUUUUUCUCAAGGAAAUAGAACAGCAUUCAACUUACUGGCAGAAUAAGCAACUGUAGUAUUGCUUUAUAAAAUCCAACUGCAGUAACUCUGCAUAGCUGGACAUUCAUAUACCUGACCAGCUUGAUUCAUCUUUUCAACAGAGCAUUUUUACAAUAUGGAAACAAAAACAAUAAUGCAAUGAAAAGAAGAGACAGAAUUAGAGUCAGUGGAAAGCCAUUUCAGCACAUGCUACAAUAUUUUACCUUUGUUCUCCAGUCUGGAUUUAAUAUUAUGUGU